AGUUUUUUCACUUUUCAAGGAAAACUUGCAUGCAGUUUUAGUCUCAAUUGGCAUAUAUUUGAACCACUAACUAUCCUAAAGAAGACAUUGAAGGUGGCAUAUGAAAUGAAUAAGGUGUACUGAUCAUUGUAAAGUGCUUUUUUUUUUUUAUAGAUUUAGUAAAAUAUUUAUGAUUGACUACACAGAUGGACACAUACAUGAAACAGGUUGUUUAACCAGGGCCAUGAAAUACAACAUAUUUUGCACAUUUUUUCUGUGUUAAAAUCUACUUUUUUAUAGAUUCAAAGUUCACUAAUGGGUUAUAUAAUUUGAAUUGUGUACAGAAACACAAAUAUCAAAGCAUGAAAAGCUUUCAGAUAGAAAGUCAGCAUGCCUCUUAUGCAUAAACAUGGAAACUGCUUUAAAAUGCUUAUUUAGCCGUAAAAUGACAAAAUUUCUAUCAAACAAAGAUUUAAAUUCUUUACUUUUAUUGAGUUUGACAAAUUGAAACCAGCAAACUAUUCAGGGAAGUUGCCAAAGUACAGAAUCUACAUUUACUGAUUUCAUCUCUUAGGCCUGAGAACAGUUAUUUCGUAGUGCAUUUCUUUUAGACAAUAGAUUCAAAUUAAAAAAAUCUCACCAGUUCAAUCUCAAAAAGAUUUUUACAGUGUAGUGUACUACUAUUGGGACAAAUAAUAGCAAAAUUUUAGAAACUUCUACCAGCUCUAACUCAAAAUAUUGACAAUUCUGUGUUUAGGGGGUCUUAAAUUCAGUUUGACAGCUUCAGACAUACGGUACUAAUUUUAGACCUUUUGUAACUGGACCAAAUCACUACUUAACAUAAAAACUCAACACCCAAAUUUUUUAUCAUGUAAUUUCAUCCCCUUACUCGAUAUUUCAUGCAUAAAAUGUCAAAAAAUGUCAAGAAAUAAAUUAGGAAAGGGUAUGAAAAAAAUUGGCAAGU
rnacentral:lncRNA from 1 species